rnacentral:rRNA from 1 species
AUUGAACGCUGGCGGCAGGCCUAACACAUGCAAGUCGAGCGAGCGGCGGACGGGUGAGUAAUGUAUGGGGACUGCCCGAUAGAGGGGGAUAACUACUGGAAACGGUAGCUAAUACCGCAUACUAUCGGAUAACCCAUAUGGGAUUAGCGAGUAGGUGAGGUAAGGGCUCACCUAGGCGAUGAUCCCUAGCUGGGCUGAGAGGAUGAUCAGCCACACUGGGCCUGAGCAAGGGCCCAGACUCCUACGGAGGCAGCAGUGGGGAAUAUUGCACAAUGGGCUCAAGCCGGAUGCAGCCAUGCCGCGUGUAUGAAGAAGGCCCUAGUUUUGUAAAGUACUUUCAGUCGGGAGGCGUUACCGACAGAAGAAGCACCGGCUAACUCCGUGCCAGCAGCCGCGGUAAUAC